rnacentral:lncRNA from 1 species
GUCAGGUCCGCCUCAUCAGCUAUGAAGUCUGUGAAUCCUGGGAGAAUCAGGAAGUCGUCGUAGGUGAGGCAGUCGGCGCUGGCAAAGAGCUGCUGCGCGGGGAGCCAGUUAUCGGGCACAUAGUCGGUGCCGCCCCUGAUCAGCCAUGUGAAGACCAUGAUUGCUUUCCCUUCAGCCUUCCACCUUUGUAAGUUUCCUGAGGCCUCCCCAGAAGCAGAAUCCUGCAUAGUCUGCAGAACUACUGGUGCACAAAGACUCCAUCUAACAGCUACCCGUAUUUCCUGACAGUGACUCUGAAAGGUAUCCCAAUACCUAAAUAUACAGAAAUUACUGGAAGAAAUAUUCAAUCUGGUGUGAUAUACUAGGUGAAUGUAUCAUAAGAAUUUCUGUUCCUUACAAAAUUGUGAAUGCAAAGUUUUAGGAAUUAUAUUGGCUAUAUGAUACUGAUCUUUGAUAUCUUUGUACCUUAAAGCAAGAUUUUCUUAGUGAACACUGGCAUUCACAGUAUUGUUUUUUCUCUGGCUAUAUCAAGAGCUUUAGUUGUUUUUUGUUAAAUGAAAAGAAUGAAGAGACUAUCUUUCAGACUUAAAAGUUAAAGUUCUGUGUGCAGACUUUCAUGUCAUGUAGAAAAAGGAAAUAAAGGGAGUUA